AGAAAAGCUUAAGCUGAAGAGCUGGUGUUCAACAGCAGCUGCAACAUCCAUGGCAACACCUUGGAGCUAAUCAGUGAUCAUCUUGUUCAGCUGUCCUGGUUAUUUGAGGGAGGAGGUUCUGCAGUGGUUCUCUGGACCAGGGCGAUGCCGCCUGUGCGGACCCUCCUGUUCUUGGUGCCGUUAGUGAAGGCGCUGAGGCCAAGCACCACGCCAGCAAAACAGCUCAGCACCGCCAGUAACAUGAAGGCCCGUGUGGCAUCCCAGAAAGCUGGACACAGAAAAGGGCCCGGAGCCCAGAGGACGACUGUUCGAUCUGCAGAGGAGGAGAGGAAGGUCCGGUCAUGGGGGUGCCACCUACACUGGAUCACUUUGUCCCAGUGUUCUCCUGCCACUGUCUGAGGGAGGGGCUUUGUCAGGUCACCUGUGGUCAGAGAAAAGAGAAACAUCACACACUGCUAUCAUGAUUCAGAGAAACUUGAACUACCACUUAAUGGUCGUAUGCCCGUCAACCAGUCCAGUUGCAGGAGCCAGUCAGAAGGUGAUGGGCUCCUGGUGAGAAGCGCACUGAGCGGAUGUCACUGCUGUGAGGCCGGUAUGUCUGAACUAUGCGUCCUCCUCUGAUGUCGUACAACAUGCAGGUACUGUCCUCCUGACCGGUGGCC